rnacentral:rRNA from 1 species
UACGGAGGAUCCGAGCGUUAUCCGGAUUUAUUGGGUUUAAAGGGUGCGUAGGCGGACUGGUAAGUCAGCUGUGAAAGUUUACGGCUCAACCGUGAAAUUGCAGUUGAUACUGUUGGUCUUGAGUAUACAUGAGGUGGGCGGAAUUUGUGGUGUAGCGGUGAAAUGCUUAGAUAUCACAAAGAACUCCAAUUGCGAAGGCGGCUCUCUGGUCUGUAACUGACGCUGAGGCUCGAAAGCGUGGGGAGCAAACAGG